rnacentral:tRNA from 1 species
UCAGUGGUAAUUCAGGGGUAGAAUUCUUGCCUCCCAUAUGGGAGACCCAGGUUUGAAUCCUGGCCAAUGCA